rnacentral:rRNA from 1 species
AUACCAGCUCUCCGAGUGGUGUGGACGUUUAUUGGGCCUAAAGCAUCCGUAGCUGGCUGGGCAAGUCCCCUGUUAAACCCACCGAUUUAAUCGUUGGUGUGCGGGGGAAACUGCUCGGCUAGGGGACGGGAGAGGCAGACGGUAUUUCCGGGGUAGGGGUGAAAUCCUAUAAUCCCGGGAAGACCACCAGUGGCGAAGGCUGUCUGCUAGAACGCGCCCGACGGUGAGGGAUGAAAGCUGGGGGAGCGAACCGGAUUAGAUACCCGGGUAGUCCCAGCUGUAAACGAUGCAGGCUAGGUGUUUGGACGGCCACGUGCCGUUCUAGUGCCGCAGGGAAGCUGUUAAGCCUGCCGCCUGGGGAGUACGAUCGCAAGGUUGAA